rnacentral:misc_RNA from 1 species
UUUCCGUAGGUGAACCUGCGGAAGGAUCAUUAUUGAAUAAACGAGGUGCGAGGCCUAUAGAUGACACGAACUGUCGUGCACGCGCACGUGCCCUUACACACAUCAAUCGCACCCCAAUGUGCAGCACCGCGUGGGUCCACCUUUGGCUUGUCAGUUGGGUGGCUAACGAUUACACACAAAAUUUGUUUGAAGUGUAGUAUGUUAUUUUUGUUUUUGAGAACAUGCAUACAAUAUACAUUUAACAAACGGAUGUCUUGGCUUUCGCAUCGAUGAAGAACA